rnacentral:rRNA from 1 species
GCAUAUCAAUAAGCGGAGGAAAAGAACUCAACAGGGAUUGCCUCAGUAACGGCGAGUGAAGCGGCAACAGCUCAAAUUUGAAAUCUGGCCUCGGCCCGAGUUGUAAUUUGCAGAGGAUGCUUUUGGCGAGGCGCCUUCCGAGUUCCCUGGAACGGGACGCCAGAGAGGGUGAGAGCCCCGUAUGGUUGGACGCCGAGCCUCUGUAAAGCUCCUUCGACGAGUCGAGUAGUUUGGGAAUGCUGCUCAAAAUAGGAGGUAAAUUUCUUCUAAAGCUAAAUACAGGCCAAAGACCGAUAGCGCACAAGUAGAGUGAUCGAAAGAUGAAAAGCACUUUGAAAAGAGGGUUAAACAGUACGUGAAAUUGUUGAAAGGGAAGCGCUCAUGACCAGACUUGUGCCCUGUGGAUAAGCCAGCGUUCUCGCUGGUGUUUCCGCUCGGCUCAGGCCAGCAUCGGUUCUCUUGGGGGGACAAAAGCCCUGGGAACGUGGCUCCUCCGGGAGUGUUAUAGCCCACCGCACAAUAUCCCCAGGGGGACCGAGGACCGCGCUUCGGCAAGGAUGCUGGCGUAAUGGUCAUCAGCGACCCGUCUUGAAACACGGACCAAGGAGUCAAGCAUUAGGGCGAGUGUUUGGGUGUAAAACCCGCACGCGUAAUGAAAGUGAAUGCAGGUGAGAGCUUCGGCGCAUCAUCGACCGAUCCUGAUGUACUCGGAUGGAUUUGAGUAAGAGCCUUACCGCUUGGACCCGAAAGUUGAUGAACUAUGCCUGUAUAGGGUGAAGCCAGAGGAAACUCUGGUGGAGGCUCGCAGCGGUUCUGACGUGCAAAUCGAUCGUCAAAUAUAGGCAUGGGGGGCGAAAGACUAAUCGAAAUCAACUAGGUAGCUGGGUUACCCGCCGAAG